rnacentral:rRNA from 1 species
CGACGAGUUCUCGUUGAUGAUUGGUGCUUGCACCGAGAUUCAACAUGGAACGAGUGGCGGACGGGUGAGUAACACGUGGGUAACCUGCCCUUAAGUGGGGGAUAACAUUUGGAAACAGAUGCUAAUACCGCAUAGAUCCAAGAACCGCAUGGUUCUUGGCUGAAAGAUGGCGUAAGCUAUCGCUUUUGGAUGGACCCGCGGCGUAUUAGCUAGUUGGUGAGGUAACGGCUCACCAAGGCGAUGAUACGUAGCCGAACUGAGAGGUUGAUCGGCCACAUUGGGACUGAGACACGGCCCAAACUCCUACGGGAGGCAGCAGUAGGGAAUCUUCCACAAUGGACGCAAGUCUGAUGGAGCAACGCCGCGUGAGUGAAGAAGGCUUUCGGGUCGUAAAACUCUGUUGUUGGAGAAGAAUGGUCGGCAGAGUAACUGUUGCCGGCGUGACGGUAUCCAACCAGAAAGCCACGGCUAACUACGUGCCAGCAGCCGCGGUAAUACGUAGGUGGCAAGCGUUAUCCGGAUUUAUUGGGCGUAAAGCGAGCGCAGGCGGUUUUUUAAGUCUGAUGUGAAAGCCCUCGGCUUAACCGAGGAAGCGCAUCGGAAACUGGGAAACUUGAGUGCAGAAGAGGACAGUGGAACUCCAUGUGUAGCGGUGAAAUGCGUAGAUAUAUGGAAGAACACCAGUGGCGAAGGCGGCUGUCUGGUCUGUAACUGACGCUGAGGCUCGAAAGCAUGGGUAGCGAACAGGAUUAGAUACCCUGGUAGUCCAUGCCGUAAACGAUGAAUGCUAGGUGUUGGAGGGUUUCCGCCCUUCAGUGCCGCAGCUAACGCAUUAAGCAUUCCGCCUGGGGAGUACGACCGC